GGCUGUUCUCAGGUGAUGCACCCCAGAAUCAGGUUCCUUUCUCUCUGGUUCUGGGUGCGUCACCUGAGAACUGCA
rfam:Myotis lucifugus cont2.51629, whole genome shotgun sequence.